rnacentral:sRNA from 1 species
AGAGUGAAUCCAAAAGUCUGCUUCACUGAGACGCUACCUUGCCAGGACAAGAACCAAGAACUCUAACUGUUCCAGGAGUCUUGUGAAUUUUCACGCAUAAUGGUCUUUCACUUGUCAUUCUACUUUCUAUAUUGUUAUCAGUCCAGGAAACAGGUAAACAGAUGUACUUAGAGACACUGACUGUUUGUUUAGGCCUAAUCUUUCAUGGUUUUUUGUUUUUUUUAAAGAUCAUGAAUUUGUGACUUAUUUCUGCCCUUUGGAGAACAAAACAAAGUAGUUUUCCAUCAAAGCACCUUAAAAUGCACUGCUGAACUAUUCAGAGUUAACACUCCAGAAUUGUUAAAUUACAAGUAUUAUGCUUUAACGCUUCUUUCAUCUUACUAGUAUGGCCUAUAAAAAAAUAAUACCGCUUGAUGGGUGAAGGCUUUGGCAAUAGAAAGAAGAACAGAAUUCAGGUUUUAUGUUAUUCCUCUGUGUUCACUUUGCCUUGCUCUUGAAAGUGCAGUAUUUUUCUAUAUCAUGUCAAGAAUGAUUAAAUGUAAAUAUUUUUCAUUCUAUCACGUAUAUCCUAUGCACACAUCUCCUUCAUCAUCAUAUAUGAAGUUUAUUUUGAGGAGUCUACAUUGCUUACAUUUUAAUUGAACCAGCAAAGAAGGCUUAAUGAUUUAAUGAACCAUAAUGUCAAUAAAAACACAACUUUUGACG